ensembl:lncRNA MEG8 maternally expressed 8, small nucleolar RNA host gene
AGACAAGAGCCUCCAUGGUGUCUGCCUGUAUAACCAAGUUUUCUAUGAGAGGGACAAUGGGUCAUAGAUUGAACACUUGGGCAUUACAUCUGUGAGAAUAAGUCUAUAGUAAAUUUCAGUAAAUUUGAGGGAUCUAAUUAUGGGGUUUCAGUAGAUCCUGGGGAUUUAUUGCAUUAUUCGAAGGAAAUAAAUGAAAGAAUCAGCAAAACAUACAGACACACAUAUAAAUAAUUAAAGAUGAAGAGGAUAAAGCUGGAUUAAUUGAGGAAAAUGCUAUCAGACAGGAAUUUUUGGUUCUGUAAUUCUGAAACACUGCAAUGCAUUAAGAAACCUGUACAUCAAGGGUGUCACCUGUCUAGGGUAGGGUAAUAUAGAGUAGUUGUUCUCAAAUGCGAGCAUUGGAGUGACCUGGAGGGCUUGUAAAAUACAGAAGGUCACCUACAUUCUCAGGAUUUCUGAUUCAGUAGGUUUGGUGUGGGGUCUGAGAAUCUAAAUUUCUAAUAACUUAAUUUCUGUAGGUUCCAAUAGUUUCCCAAAUCAUGCUGAUGCUGCCUCCUGAGAAAUAUUUUCAGAAUCACUGAGAAAAAUGUAUGAAAUAGUUAAUGUCCUUGCUCUGUGUCAGUGGUAAGUUCCAGUUUGUUUAUUUUAUUGAGAAAAAGAAGGUAAUUAAUUAAUUAAGCAAUUAAUAUUUAUUUAUUUAUAUUUGAGAUGGAGUCUCACUCUGUUUGUUGCCCAGGCGGAGGUUGCAGUGAGCUGAGAUUGCAUCAUUGCACUCCAGCCUGGGCGACAGAGUGAGACUCCAUCUCAAAAAAAAAAAAAAAAA